rnacentral:rRNA from 1 species
GUAGGGAAUCUUCCACAAUGGACGAAAGUCUGAUGGAGCAACGCCGCGUGAGUGAAGAAGGGUUUCGGCUCGUAAAGCUCUGUUGGUAGUGAAGAAAGAUAGAGGUAGUAACUGGCCUUUAUUUGACGGUAAUUACUUAGAAAGUCACGGCUAACUACGUGCCAGCAGCCGCGGUAAUACGUAGGUGGCAAGCGUUGUCCGGAUUUAUUGGGCGUAAAGCGAGUGCAGGCGGUUCAAUAAGUCUGAUGUGAAAGCCUUCGGCUCAACCGGAGAAUUGCAUCAGAAACUGUUGAACUUGAGUGCAGAAGAGGAGAGUGGAACUCCAUGUGUAGCGGUGGAAUGCGUAGAUAUAUGGAAGAACACCAGUGGCGAAGGCGGCUCUCUGGUCUGCAACUGACGCUGAGGCUCGAAAGCAUGGGUAGCGAACAGGAUUAGAAACCCUAGUAGUCCU